UUUACAUUUAUUCUAUCACUAAGAAAUUUCGUCCUCAAAUUUUAUCUAAUAUGAACAUAUUACUCAUGCAUAUUACCAUUUGUAAUCUUCAUCAAUGAAAUUUUCUUUCCUUGUAUAGUUUGUUGAGCUUUCAAUACUCAAUUUGUAUAGGCAACAUUUCAAACUUAAUCAUCAAAGUAAAUCAUAUGUGAAGUUCAUUAACAUACUAUCAAAGUUGAAACACAUAAAAGACAUUGUGACAAUUAAAAAGUUGAGUAUACAACACUACUUGGUACUCCUUAUUACUCUAUUAUUCUUAUUUGAUCACUUUGCAAAGUUUAAGUUCUUAUUUUUCUUUUAACCUAAGCAAAAUAUGCCGCAGCCUCUGUAACUCGACAAAGCCACAGUUUCAGGUUCAGACUAGCUAUGUUAUGCAGUGCAGACUGAAAAAUGGAGGCAUUAGUAGCUUGUUAUGGUGAUGGAUCUUCUGAUUCAGAUUCAGACUCUGAAUCUUCACCUUCAAAUCCAUCUUUAGCUUACUCAGAAGGACAAGCGCUGUUGCCAACCCGAUCAACAGACGUUCGGGAACCGUUUUCUGAAGUAUGUGUCCAACCCUUGCCACCACCUCCAAUUGCACUCCUUAAUCCUCCAAAUUUUCUCGGGCCUCAAGAUAUGCAGAUACAUCAGACAAAUAAAGUUAGGAGCUUCCCUCAUGUUGAUGGUAACUAUGCCUUACAUGUAUAUAUACCAAUUAAUAUUUCAUCUCCAUCGAAAAAGAACUAGUUGCUUUCUUGAAGAAAAUCUCAUCUCAGGAACCAAGUCUUCAUGUUGUUGAUGUUGAUGUCCCACUUAACAUUCUCUGCAGAAAUGAUGAGAAACUCGAACAAGUUGCAUUAGGACGAGAGUUUCACAUAAGUUUGGGAAGAACUGUUCCAUUACGAGUACAUCAAAUUGACUCAGUGGUCUCAAUGCUAAGAAACAAACUUCAAACUCAACAACAGUCAAUUUUUAUUCUUAUUUUGUUCAGUUAUGAAAAAUGGAACAAAAUAUUUUUAUCAACCUCUUACCUGAUUGUUGCCUUUAACUUGCCAUUUUGAAGCAGUUAUUGGAUUGACUUUAACAACUGGGAGGUUUUUGUUAACGAUGAUUGAACACGCACCUUCCUUUCAGUAGAAGUUGUUCAUGGUGGACUUGUAGAGACAAUGUUUGACGACACUAAAGUGUUCAACACCGACCAUGGUGGUUUGGGGUCAAAGAGUGACAUACACAACUAUCAAUAUGACAAUAACGUGUGACACUUACAUUACAUACUUCAGGGAAACACAACGCAUGUUUCAGACACCUAUAAAAUGCAUUUUCUUCCCCUUUUUAAGUAUGAACUUGAAUGUGGUGAAAUUUCAGUGAGAGAAACUUAGAGAGACAGAAUGAAUUCUUAGGAUUCAUUAUCCUAAAAAUUGAAGACCUUUGGGAUAUCUAAAGGAAUUGAGAAACAAUUUACCUUGGGUUUAUCUGGUUCAUAUAAUGAGAGUUGGAGAGAUUGAAAAAUACUUGGGUAGAAAAUAUGAUUGAAGACUAUUUUCUUUUAACUCAUCUUGUAAUCUCUUGUAUUAACUUUUUAAGUAUAGAGGAUAAGAGAGUUAUGCCCUCCCCCUGAGUAGAUCGAUUUGAUCAAACUGAAUAAAUAAAUUAUGUCUUUUUUCAUCGUUUA